rnacentral:rRNA from 1 species
AACGUAGGGGACAAGCGUUAUCCGGAUUUACUGGGCGUAAAGCGCCCGUAGGCGGCCUGAUAAGUUGGACGUGAAAGCUCCCGGCUUAACUGGGAGAGGCCGUUCAAAACUGUGAGGCUAGAGUGAGGCAGAGGAGCGCGGAAUUCCCGGUGUAGUGGUGGAAUGCGUAGAGAUCGGGAGGAACACCAGUGGCGAAAGCGGCGCUCUGGGCCUAAACUGACGCUGAGGGGCGAAAGCGUGGGAGCGAACGGG